CGGUGACGGUGGCAGAACUGUGCCAGCUCUUGCCAUUCACGGGAAUGCUGAAGCGCCCGGUCUUCUUUUCAAGAUAGAAUUGUAGAAAAACACCUGUGUUUAAGAACGUGGCACCCUAGGCCUGGACCAGGAGAUAUCACUCAGACACAGCAACCUUCAAGCCCAGAACUUUGGAGGAACUCCAAGGACUAUACCUGCUGUGAAGAAGAUGAAGAUGAGCAAGAAGGGGUCCCAAAUGCCCCCAGACCUAAUUCCCAAAGGGGUGUGUCAGGGGGCAGAACUGGACAAAACUGAGGGGUGGAUAGACCUGGGACCUUAUUAUAAAAUCAUGGAACCGCUGUCUGGGUGCACACACAAGUCUGUAUUCCCCUAAUUAAAGGACCUGCUCUUUUCAUCUUAUGCACUAAA